rnacentral:tRNA from 2 species
GGGUAUAGUUCAGUUGGUAGAACGUCGGUCUCCAAAACCGAAUGCCGUGGGUUCGAGUCCUGCUACCC